rnacentral:rRNA from 1 species
CCAGACUCCUACGGGAGGCAGCAGUGGGGAAUAUUGCACAAUGGGGGAAACCCUGAUGCAGCGACGCCGCGUGAGCGAAGAAGUACCUCGGUAUGUAAAGCUCUAUCAGCAGGGAAGAAGAUGACGGUACCUGAAGAAGAAGCCCCGGCUAACUACGUGCCAGCAGCCGCGGUAAUACGUAGGGGGCAAGCGUUAUCCGGAUUUACUGGGUGUAAAGGGGGCGCAGACGGCGAUGCAAGCCAGGGGUGAAAGCCCGGGGCCCAACCCCGGGACUGCCCUUGGAACUGCUUGGCUGGAGUGCGGGAGGGGCAGGCGGAAUUCCUGGUGUAGCGGUGAAAUGCGUAGAUAUCAGGAGGAACACCGGCGGCGAAGGCGGCCUGCUGGACCGCGACUGACGUUGAGGCUCGAAAGCGUGGGGAGCGAACAGGAUUAGAUACCCUAGUAC